UUUUUAUUUUUAUUACUCUAUUAGUCACUACAACUAUUUUCUGAUUGCUAUGGUGAUAGAUGGUUUAAAACAAGCCUUCAUUAAGAAUUGUCACACCAUGGUCUCAGUCAAAAACACCAACAUUUUUAUUGGUAUUGACAAUUAUGGGAAUAUCCAAUUCCAAGAAGACAAGGAGACCUCUGAACUUUCUAAAUGAAGACUCCAAUCUUCCUGAUCUGAUGGGAAGCAGCUUG
rnacentral:lncRNA from 1 species